CGGUGAUUGAAGCCUGGGGUCACAUGAGAAAAAGAAAUGGCGUUUUGCUGGAGAAAGCAGCAUAGCGGAAUGUAAAGCGGUAAAGCGUGUAUGCUCUGGAGCCACAGACCUAGAUGGUGAAGUCUAGCUCUGGUACUUGACAGGCUGUACAAGAAUCAUGGUGCCAGCAUCUGCUUCUGACAAGGACCUCAGGCUGCUUGCACUUAUGGCAAAAGGUGAAGGAGAGCCAACUUGUCACAUGACAAGAAAGAGAGAGGCCAGAGACAAGAGAGGGAAGAUGCCAGGCUGUGUUAAACAAGCUCUUGCAUGAAAUGAUAGAGCAAGAACUCACUCAUUAGGAGGAGAGGGCACCAAGCCAUUCAUGAGGGAUCUGGCCCCAUAACCCUAACACCUCCCAGUCAGCCCUACCUGUCACACUGGAGAUUAAAUUUCAAUGUAAGAUUUGGAGGGGACAGAUAGCCAAACUAUGUUAGAAGUCCCAAAUAAAGAAAAAAAUCUUCGUAUAUUUGGAACUUUAA
rnacentral:lncRNA from 10 species